AGUGUAAGAGUUGCUGUAGCAACCUCACAGCUGUGCUCUGUCUAGCAGAAACUUGGGAUACAGAAAAACAGCAAAUACAAAUCAUGGAUGAAAUUUAUAAGAUCACUUCCACAGAAAGGGUCCAGCUGUUGGAGAAAAAACUGGCUGUGCAACUGACUGAACUGAAGUCUGAGAUAGAAGAGCAGGGAGCUCUUCAGGGAACAGCUAAUCGAGUUUACAGCUCUAUUCAAAUGCCAAAGGAUAUUUAUUACUUUAGAAGAGAGAGGGAACUAGCACUGAAGAAAACCUUACAGGUGGCCGAGUCGAAGCCCCUUGUUGUUCAGGCAGAUGCCGUGCAGAGGGAGCUAGAGAGCUGCCUAAGAAGGGAGUACACCCCUGAAAAUUUACCUUUGCUUCUGUUGCAGUAUUACACAGAGAGAAUUGCCCAGCUGGCCCAGAGUAAAUAUUUACACAUGCUUAGGUGGAAGAGGUUUUGCCAACACAGUAAGAUCAUGGAGCAACUUUAUCCUCUUUACAAGAAACAAGUUGGCUACAUUAUGCAGGAGUACAAUGACACCCUUCAGAGAGCUGAAAGAUUGUCUGUUGCUCGAGAAAACUUCCUCAUGGGAAAAAACAAUCCUCCUAACUUGGUGACACAGGAAGAUCUGACUAUUUACACAAAGUGGUUAGUGUGCCACCUGCACUCUCUUGGGACUGUUCACCAGUACCUGCAGGCCCUCCAGUAUUUGCCCAUCUCCAAAGUGCUGAGUGUAGCUUUCAACCGAGUCGCUGAAGCUGGUCAGAAAAAUGAAAAUGUCUGUGUCAAUGACAUUGACCCUGACAUUCAGGGUUCUGCAUCUCCUGACCCUGUGGAUACCAGCAUUUCUGGGCCAAUGAGAACAGAAGCUGCUUUUGUCCUCCCCCAACAUGCAACAGAAACAGGAGAACUGAAACCUCAGCUGAAGCUCCUGCUCUCCCAUUUCAGUAUCCCAUAUGACGUAGAAGAGCUCUGGGACUCUGCUAAGGAAAUGGAACUUUUUUCCUUGGUUUCCCAAAAAUUUCAAAGCGUCUUCAUGGAGCAACAGAGAUUGCAAAUGUUUCCAGACUGUGAAGCUGGAAUAGCUAAAGCAGAUAAUUUGGGUUUGGCAGGACCCAGAAUGACCCUGAAAAAGAAAGCCAACUGGAUUUCCUUCAUAAAGAUCAAGCCAAAAUGUGAUCCAUGGCAAAAGAAGCUUUUGACUAAAUUAAAAGAACGGAGAAGAACAGAUGCAUUAUUGCAACUCCAAGCAAAGUUUUUGAAGAUUUCCAACCCUGAGUGAGUAAUGCAAGUGCUCCAAGAUCACGCUGCAAAGACAGUCAUGCUGGCUCCACAUCAGCCAUCGUUUGUGGCUUCCCAAGGUUUGCAUCAGGGCAAUUAUGACCAAGUCUGGGAGAAUAUUGACAACAACAUCAACCUCUGUCAGAAUAAAAAUAUGAAAGAUGAUGACCUCUCCAUGAAACAAAAUGAAAAUGAUCUAUCACAGAUAACUCUCAGCCAACAUGCUGAUGGGCCUCUCAAGCAGAUACAAGAGACAGGGUACAACUAUGCAAUGACCCUACAACUGCUGGGCUUGGAAGACGGCACUGACCCCAGUGAUAGGAAUCCUGUUCUGAUGAGAGGGGCCUACUUGUCCUUUCUGUAUCUGUGCCACCUUCGAAUCAGAGAACUGCAGCACAUCUGCUUAGGAAUUCUGAAUUAUUUCAGAUCUGUUGAGCGAACCCUGACAAUCAAUACUUCGGGCCUUACCUUGGUUUCAGGGAAACUGGUCCCCACCAUGGAAGAUAGUUCCUGGGUAAAUAUGGCAAAAGGAGGUCUGGGCACCUUGCAGGGCCUGGGCGCUCACCACUAUGUCCGUGAGACACCUGCUGAGCACAAGGUCCACAGCGUCCAAUUCAUGGAGUUCUCGGAAGUGGAGAACCAGGAUGACUACUACAGCACAGAAGCUGGCUGCAUCCACACCCAGGACCAGCAAGGGGUGCAUGUCAUGUAUGAGGAAGCCUUGAGUGAUCUCAAGGAACUAGAGGCAGAGUUGCUGCUUGUGGCUAGCCAUUACAUUGAGAAAGAAAGGGGUCACAAAGUGGGCAGCCAGCCAAAGAGUGGCCAGGAGUGGGGAUGGGCCCAUGCAGAUGUGGACAGAUUUGCUGUGCUGUAUGACACGUGGACUUGGGAAGCAGCUCUUCUGGAAAACAAGCGCCAGCUUCUUGACAGUUACUUUGAAGCCUACCAGCACACGUUGGACCCUGAGGAGAGGUUUACCUUAGCACAAGUGAUGACGGACAUCGUGCACCGACGCCCGAGGUUUGAUCUCAGCCACCCCUAUUUCAUUAAGGCCUACCAAGAGGAAUGCACCUGCCUGAGGCUUCACCUGCAGUUAGUGAGGGGCAUCCUCAACCAGCAGAUAGAACGUCAGCGGGAGUAUGUCCAGAGGCUUUGGCGAGAGGAUCAUCUGGACAAUAGCAAUACAUUUGGACUUCCCCUUAAUAUAGUUUGCAAACAACUUAUUUCCAUCAACAAUAGCUGCCCAGCUUCAAAAAAUGUUUAUCUGCUGGAGUUCCACCCUUCCCUCAGCCUGGCAGCACUUAUCCCCAAAGCCCUAGAGCAUCUCUUCCAAGAGGCCUGCCAUGCCUGCAGACCCACAUCAGCCAGUGGCCUUGCCUCCCUGGAGCGACAUGUCCUGCAGCUGGCCCUGGACCUGUGGCUCACCCCAGCCACGCCUGAGGCCUGGUACAGUACACAGCUCCAGAAAGAUCUGUUUUCAGCUAAAGUUAUGGGAGAUCCCUUUCUCGUGGGGGAGAUAGGCCUGCUGGCAUUCAAGUCUGCAGCAGACGAAGGACAGAAACAAGACCAAGACUCUCACGUGCUGCUCUUGGAGAUGUUUUCCAAACUUCUGGAACUCUUGACCCUCCGCCACCGGCUGAUAGAAAUGAGCCUGGAGAGUGCACACUUAGCUCGGCUCUAUAAAGAAUUGGCAUGGGAGAUGGGUUUUGAAGAGUUCCAUUUGUAUCUGAGGCCUGUUCACUUUGAAUUUGCAUCACACGGGGACAGGGCAGACCAGCCACCUCCUGUGUUUAUAACCUCUCUGCUGGAGGACAGUGGUCGGGUAGACAGAUAUUCUCCUACUGCUCUUGUCUUAGCCAUCUCUGAGGUGGAUGAUAACCAAAUUGGCAAAUUUAGUUUUUACACAAAGGAAGCCAUUCUUAAGCUUUUGCUGCAUUCAGGAGUGGAAAAUAUGCAGGUGACUCUUGCAUGCCAAGCUGCUCAGAAAAAUGCUUUGAUGGCGGCUGUCCAGCAGGUGUACUUCUAUUGCACCCCUCAAGGGAGCUGUCCUGCUAAUGUCAAGGAAAUAAGUUCAGAUCUGAGAAAUCAUGGUGGAAUGGGCCCAACCAGAAGAAGAUAUUCCAGAAUUGUGAAUGGCAUAGACAGCUCGCUGAUAGCCCCAACUCCAAAAGUCCCAGAUACACUUACUCAUUCUCCAGAAAGAUUUCAGGCUACCAAAAGGAUGAAAUUGGAAAAGUCAAGAGAGAUGUUAUGGUUGAAUAUUGUCAGAAGUUUAACCACCGCAUGUCUCACUAUGCUCUUCGGGGUCAGAUCAUGGCAUACUGCAAUAGCCUGAGAGAUCUUCUGGAAGAUUUUCCUACCAUCAGGGACACCUUUUUCAUGGUAGGGCAACCACAAGAGAAGAAGGGGUUGAGAGACUCCAAGGAGGGCCUCAAGGCUGACCCCAGAAGAUUUCAGCCCCGGCCACGAUGUUUGCUGUCAGCGGAUGGAAAAGUCUUCCUCAAUUGAUGGUUCAUACCCCAUUCUUCUGAAGUGCUGGUUAUGUUCAAAACUCUGCCAGAAAAGGCAGCUUUUAAAGCCUUAAAGCGAACUCUACAACUGAUAGCUCCUCUGCAUGAUAUCGUGGCCUACCUUGUCAGUUUUGCUAAGCUUGGCAAUUGUCCAGCAUGUUUUGAAUUUCCUCGAAGUCCCAACCCUUUGAGAGGUGACUGGGGAGGAACUGAGGGCAUUGGGUCUGAGCUUCAAGAGCUGCAGAACAUGAUUGACAGCCUCCAGAGCCCCCAAGACCCUAUCCGGGUGGCCCAGGCACUCCUCCUCCGGAGGGAGGUUAUAUUUUUGCAGUUUGACGCUGCAGUAAGGCAUCUCAUCCGAAGAACAUUUUUGGCAGCUGGAAAUGUUCCUGCCUACCAGUCUGUCACAGACGGCAUGUGCCAUGGGCUACCAGCACUGAGCAACUCUCUCAGGAAGAGCAUUUUUGCCUCACAGCUCAGCCUGCCCCAGCCACUGGAUCCACGGAGCCUCCAGGCAUUUGAGCUGUUUCCUUGGAGAGCAUUUCUGGAAGAUGGAGGACCAUUCCCAGUUAUGAGUAACAGCCCAGAUACCCUAGAAUAUAAUAUGCAGCUGUGCCUCUGUGGGCUGAGUGACCGUGACCGCAAGGUGGCUCAUGGAGAACUGGUGGGUGUGCAACUGCUACUGGAAGAUGUUCUGAGUAGCUAUCAUGUGACCAUGGAGGCCCCCCAAAGACAGCAAGCCACACUGGGCAAAAAUACACAGCCAGAUUGGUCCAAAGUGCCAGGAUUCAGAAGUCAGUUCCGAAGCAGCCCAAAGACCUCUGAGCUGCUGGAGGGCCUGUGCGAUGCGGUGAUGUCCUUUGCUUUGCUGAGAUCAUUUCUGAUACUGUGGAAGCAGCUGGAAGUGCUAAAGGAGCACUGGGGCCGACUCAAGCUGCAAGGCCAGGAUAUCAACUCUGUCUCUCUCCACAAACGGUUUUCAGAGCUCUAUGAAACUGACGUUCUCUACCCCAGCAUGAAAGCUAUAGCCAGGCAGAUGGGGAAAGAAGAUGAAUUUGAAGGAUUUAUAGUAAAUAAUCAGUCUGUUCUUCCCCCCAGUGGAGCCUCAGAAGUUGAAAUAAAAACUCACCAACUUCAAAAACUUCUGGAAAAUUGUGAAAUUCAAAUGAUCCAAGAGGUACUAAGAAAAGUUAACAGAGAAAUGACACUGGUUUUAUCAGAAAAGUGCAAGGAGGAGUGUUCUCUCCCUACAGAUCUCUGGAAACACCAAGUCAUGAAAGAAAACUUUUCAGUCUCAAGACCACAAAUAGUUGAAAAAUUUAUACAGAGAUUAAUGUAGAAUUAUCAGGAUGAUGGAGUAGAGAUCACUUUCAGGAAAGAUCACCUUGAGGCCUGCCUCCUUUCCCUGGGUUGUGAUGUGAUGGCAAGAGAAUGCAGCAACUUUGAGACCUACUCCAUGUGCUAUGAGCAUGUGUUGCAUCAUGCUAGGCAGAGGCUCAGCCAGAAAGAGCAAGAAUUAGAUGCUACACAAAGAGGCCAGGGUCCACCUGAAGACAGUGCUGGCCAGAUUGCAGAGCUCAGUCAUGAUAUGAUCAUGGAAAUCACCACUCUGAGAGCCCAACUCACAGACUUGGAAGAAGUGAAUCUGAAUCUCAAGAAGCAGAUUAGAAAAGAAGUCCAAGAAGAAUAUGAAGCAUUAGUCCGAGCUUUGUUUGAGACCUGUUUACACAUAAAAGAGAAGCUGGAUGAUAAUCAGCUUAAUUUGAUCCAGAAAGUGUGUGAGCUCAUCGGUGAAGUGAGAACAGAAGGGAUUGACAAUAUGAAGGACCUAAAGAAAAAAUGGUGCUCUGCCAGCCCCGAUGAAGGAAUGAAAGAAAACCCAGCCAAAGAACAGCUGUGGGCCUUGGAGCAGGACAACUGCAGCCUGGCCAACCUGGUGUGCAAAGUGAGGAGCCUGGGCCGCUGGAGGCUGGCUGUGCAGCAGGCGUGCUUCCAGGCCCAGCUGAGCAGGACAGAGAAGGAAUCUAUUCAAAGUAAAAAAGAGUAUUUGCGCAUCAAGCUGAUGGCAGAGCGAGAAGUGGGUUUAUUUCGUCAGCAGGUCCUGGCUCUCAGGCAGGCCCUGGCCAGGGCACAGGCUGACAGCGCGAGGAUGUGGAAGCAGCAGGACAGCCAGGCUCAACUGCUGAAGGAGUUAGAACAUAGAGUGACCCAGGAAGCUCUCACCCAGCAGCAGCUGCAUUUUAUGAAAACAUCCAGGAUGGAGAAGCUCUUGGAAGAUGUGGGGCAAAAAGAACAGCAACUGCAGCUCCUUAGCAAAGAGGCUGAGAGGGCUUCUAAGCUGGGCCAACUGCAGCAGAAAAAAAUGAAGAGGGACCUCCACCAGAUGAGAAGCCGGCUUGCCCAGGAGCGCAGUGUGAAGCUGGAUGCUCUCCAGCGUGCAGAGGAGCUGCAGGGUCAGCUUCACGAUGCCCAGCGGUCAGCUGUCCCCAUGGGCUCGUCAGGCGACCUUAUAUCCCAGGCUCAAUACUCCCCAACUUCUGCUUCCACAUCAUCCAGAUACUCCCAGCAACGCUUUUUAAAGACUAAUCUCAAAGGCAGUAAAAUAACAAGAUGGAUUCAAAGGCCACAGACUGUACCUAUUAAACACAAAAAAAGAACUGACGAUGUUUUCCUACCCAAUAUGGCAGAAAAUGUUCAACUGACAGCUUUUCAGGUUCAAACAGCUCCAUCCAG